UCUUUGUGAGGAGUCACCGGACUGUUUGAGUUGAGCACAAUUCGAAUGAUCUAAUUAGGGUUGAUAGUUUAACCCUGAGUCAUCCUAAACAUAGAGGUCAAAAGGAUGAAUUAUACAGUAACCAUAUUCACGUAGGUUCUGAGUGUUGCGAUUACGACCAUUCGACCUAUCCGAUCGUUGGGUACCAUUGCUAGAUGGUCACUUCGAUUUGUGCAGGAAUUGGUUCCUGUGCUACCGGCUUAGGUUCGAACCUGCGGGGUCACACACAUUAGAGGUUCCUAUCUGAUCUGAUAGCUGGUGAAGAGUCCUUCAUGUCUGAAAUUCUGUGAUCGAGAAUCAGGAUUCUCUGAUCACGAAUUCCAUACAUUUUGGGUAUCGGGGUCAAGAGUCCCACUGGUUUAGGACUCUUCGAUCAGGGUUACAUAUCGAUGAAUUUUGAUACCCGAUUACCCAUCGGAUUUGGAC
rnacentral:lncRNA from 1 species